rnacentral:piRNA from 1 species
UUUUUCAUGCGUUCAGAAUUU